rnacentral:rRNA from 1 species
GACGAACGCUGGCGGCGUGCCUAAUACAUGCAAGUCGUACGCUUCUUUUUCCACCGGAGCUUGCUCCACCGGAAAAAGAGGAGUGGCGAACGGGUGAGUAACACGUGGGUAACCUGCCCAUCAGAAGGGGAUAACACUUGGAAACAGGUGCUAAUACCGUAUAACAAUCGAAACCGCAUGGUCUUGAUUUGAGAGGCGCUUUCGGGUGCCGCUGAUGGAUGGACCCGCGGUGCAUUAGCUAGUUGGUGAGGUAACGGCUCACCAAGGCCACGAUGCAUAGCCGACCUGAGAGGGUGAUCGGCCACAUUGGGACUGAGAAACGGCCCAAACUCCUACGGGAGGCAGCAGUAGGGAAUCUUCGGCAAUGGACGAAAGUCUGACCGAGCAACGCCGCGUGAGUGAAGAAGGUUUUCGGAUCGUAAAACUCUGUUGUUAGAGAAGAACAAGGAUGAGAGUAACUGUUCAUCCCUUGACGGUAUCUAACCAGAAAGCCACGGCUAACUACGUGCCAGCCGCCGCAGUAA